GGCGCAGGCAGCAAACUUUGGCGGCGUCCGCGCGGCGCCGUCUCCGCCGGCGCGCCGGGCUCGCCCCUUUAUAGAGUGUCUGCGCCGCCGCCCGCGCCCCCCCCGCCGCCGCCGCCGGGCGGCCCCUCCCGGAGCGAGCGGCCGCGGGCAGGGCUCCGACCCGGCGCCUUUGUCUCGCCCGGGCCGCUCGGGCGCCGCGCCUCCUGUUCCGGGCGCGCGGGGUCGGCCGGCCGCCUUCGCUGCUCCGCCGCGGCUCUCAGCGCCGCUCAGCGCGGCGGGCCCGCCCGGGCUCAGGUGCCCCCCGCUCUCCGGACCUUCUCGCCCGGCCCCGCGUCCCCUCCGCGGGCUUCCCCCGGCGGCCGGCCGGGCUCGGAGGCUCGCGGCCGGAGCGGAGCGGAGUGCGCACGCCGGGGUGGCAGGACUUCGGCAAGACCAACUUUCCGUGGUCCUGUCUGGUGUGAACCGUCAGCACAGAUGGCCUCCUGGAGCUUCCCCGAGUCGUUCGCUGGGGGAAGCGGGCGGUGAGCGGCCAGCCCGGGCGCUCCGCAGGCCGCGAGCUCCCGGCAGGGCUGGUGGCGGGGGUCCGCCUGGGGGAGGAAUCCCCGCCUGCUCCAUCGGACCCGGCCUGGCGCGGCUCGCGGCGCUCGGCGGGCUCCCUUCCAUUCUAGAAUCUUCCCGCUUGCUUCCCAGCCCGCGUUCUUCCGCCUGCCUUUAAUUGUAAUUUACAGGAUUAAGGAGUUUGGGGAAGUCGCAGAGCUGCAGCGGAAAGGCAGGGGUCUGAGACUACUUUUGAGAAGAGAAACAACGCAAAACGAUCGCUGGAGGGCCAGAGCCCUGGUCGAAGGUGCCCUAGCUUUUAUGACCUGGUUAAUUGUGUCUCCUUUUUAUUUUUAUUUUUUUCCUUACCACUACUACUACUACUACUUUUAUUUUUUUUUAACCGAUACACUUUGGAGAGAAGAAGCAGACACAGGUUCCCACGGCGUCUGACGCCUGCGGAGCAAGUCCAGAGCCAGCUGGACUCGCAGCCUCUGGCCCGGCGGCACCAACUCCUCACUGGGUCAUUUUGAGCGCGCUGUGCCCACCUUUUCUGUUGCGUGUGGACGUGGGGAGGAUCUUCUAAGUCCCUCCAACGAAGGCAAGUGUGAGACUCUGGCCCUUUAUUUGUAAGAAGCAAGCCUUCAGAUUGCAGAAGUGUCGCGCGGGUCGCCGUGCGUUGCGCGAGUGGGAAGAUGGAGGAGGCCGGCACGCUGCUUUCGUGGACGCAAGUGAACCGGGCGUGAAGGCAGGGUGCGAGCUCUGCCCUUGGCCCAGCCCUGCGUGGGCGCCGUCCCAGAUUCCGGGCGGUGCGGGGUGCAGAGAUCUGGAGAGACUUGCGGGCUCCCCAGCGCAGGCUGCUCUGGGAUUUCGUUGGAAGAUCCGGCAGAGCCUUGGAGGAGAGGGCCCGGGAGGCUGUGUGUGCAGCGGAAACUUGUACGAAUGCCCCCACAGCGGAAAUGGUGCGCACGAGUAAUUUCUGCGGUGCACCCUUUUAAAAAUUGACAAGUGAACAAGAUCAAUUUUUUAAGAAAGCAAAGGUAGAAAACAAAAGGCGUGCGACUUCUUGACUGGCUUGUUCCCGCCUUUCUUCCUUCUCUAUACUCAGAUCAGAAACUUUUCUUUAAUUGCUCUUAUUCAGUGCGACAACUUUUAAUAAAAGCAUUUGCAUUUUAAGCCUGAGUUGCAACCAUAGAUUUAUUGCGAAGUGACAACGUGUCUAUGGAAUAUUUUCGCAGAUGAGACAGGACAUGCGCUCUAGUCGUGCCCAGAUUAAAGCGACGCUGGGCCAUGUGCCUGUGUAGUGCAGACUCGGAGGGGCACACACAUACUCGUCACCACAUGACCACUGUCUAUUAAUAUUGUCAUACCUAAACACUCGCAAAAACAAAAGUUGCUUUUCUUCCCUGUAAUUAAAUCUAAUUUGUUAAUUGUCUUUCCUCUUGCAAUGUUGUUUUCAUCUUGAGGUGACACAUUAUUAUUUUGUCUAAUAUUAUUUACAAAUUAAUGCUGUAUAUUUUACAUUAGUGAAACAUAUAAUUAGGUGUUUGGUUCAAUCGGUAUCAUUCAGAUAAAACAAAGCCUAUCUGCAAGAUUGAUUGGAAGUGGAGUAGUUGGUUCUAAUUUACCAUCACAGUCACAGUUUAUUGAAGCUACCUGGCCCCAGAUUCACAGAAGCUAGUUUUACCUAAGGUGCAUUUGAUGCUUUGUUUACAAGUGUUUAUUUUCC
rnacentral:lncRNA from 1 species